CAUAUUGUGCCUGAGGAAAAAGGGUUAUUUUGAUGUAAUAAGAAUGCCUGGGAAGGCCAUUAUGU
rnacentral:tRNA from 1 species